UACGGAGGGAGCUAGCGUUGUUCGGAAUUACUGGGCGUAAAGCGCGCGUAGGCGGCUUUUGUAAGUUAGAGGUGAAAGCCCGGGGCUCAACUCCGGAACUGCCUUUAAGACUGCAUCGCUUGAAUCCGGGAGAGGUGAGUGGAAUUCCGAGUGUAGAGGUGAAAUUCGUAGAUAUUCGGAAGAACACCAGUGGCGAAGGCGGCUCACUGGACCGGUAUUGACGCUGAGGUGCGAAAGCGUGGGGAGCAAACAGG
rnacentral:rRNA from 1 species